ensembl:lncRNA
CUGAAGUCAUACUUCCUGGUGCUACAGUCACGUAUUUCAAUAUAUUUUAAGACAAAUUAGAGUAUGUUACACUGCCCAGUGUUUCACUUUGAAGUGUCAAGGCUGAAAUCAUUAGUAAAUUUUCCCUUCUGUAAAUUGCUCUUUGGAUAAAAAGCUAACAAAUACAUUUGCCUUUUCCUGAUUUCUCUAUUUUUUUUUUCUUUCUAAUUGGUAUCAAAGGUGCUUAGGCUGUGAGCAAUGGUAUUGAUGGCUGUCACAUAACACCCAAAGACGGAGGUGUCUAUUGGUACUAGUUGUAUGGAGUUCCACAGGAACUGUGUUCUGCUGCGUCCUGGAGAGGUAAUGAGAGACCAAAUAAUGCCUCAGCUGAGGAUAUUCAGAUUAUUUGCACACGCUGAGCUAUCACAUAGCCCUGUUAGAAGAAAGCGAUGAAAUAAAAUCUAUGUUAACAGCGAGUUAACUGAGGCUGCUGGAGCGAAAAGGACAAAGAAAUGCACAUCAUUUGCAUGUGUUAAUAGGAAUAAGGAAGCUGAAAAAAACAGACCGUGCCCAUACUCCAUCACUGCCAGCACAGCCGCUUGGAGCUGCCCCGACGCUGAUCUACUGACGCUGGCUUUGUGCCAGAGUACAUCCCCGCUCCAAAGACCUCCUUGGCAUUUGAACAAUUUGAGCCAAACCUGCUCACUGUGAGAAAAGCAUUUCCCAGAGCUGCAAAGGAGGCAUGUCAGAUGAGAUGCCGGGCUCCAGCAAGACAAUACCCCAGGAACAAGCUGAGUGAACAAGCCUUUCUCAUCCAUUAAGUGUGCUGACCCCAUGGAUCAAGUCCUGCCUUCACACGGGGCUGAGAAGAUGGUUUGUGUCUACAGGAAACUUUCUGAAGUUGAGCUUCAAGUAUGUGUGACUGAAUUUGAAUUUGCCUUGCCUGAUGGAUUCCUCCCAGUGUGGCUCUGUUGCUGUUUGGCCUCAGGUCUUUGCUACUCUCCUGCAGUUGAUUUACAGCUGUGUUUCGUGCCUUAGGGUGGAGGUGCUUUUCUGCUUCUUGAUGAGUACAGAAGCUUCAGGAUGUAGCAGAGAGGUCCUGGGGACGUUUCAGAAUAAGAACAACAGUAUCAAUAAAGAAGAGGAAGCCAAAGUUGACUGCAGGAGAAAACCAGAUUAAGGGGAAAGUUAUCACAGGCCUCACUUCUGCUGGGUCAGUGUCGGUCUGCCCCGGAGGUCCUUGAAGUUUCUCUUGAUGAAUUUGAAAUCACAGAGGUUCAUCGUUUUGACAAGCAGGGACUCUCAUUAAGCAAGGCUGGGAAAACGGAGACUGGAGAAGCUUGGUUUGCACCAUCUGCACCAGACUUGCUGGGACUUGCUCUGUGCAGACAGUCUCUGUGCACUGGGACGGAGGGACGAAGCAGAGCAGCCCAUGCUGCCCAGUGCUUAUGUGGUCGCUCCAGCUGAGCAAUGCGGUCUCAGAACACAAUUCAUCCUCGUUCAAG